GGUUCACCUAACUCAAGUCAGAGCCCACCAGCCGCUGGCCACCACGCCGUUGGCCAGUUCCCGGUGCAGGGGAAGGGGGCGGGGUUGACUUCAGGUCCCCCAGUCCUGCCUGCUCCCCCUCCCGCCCUGGCUCUGGAGGCAGCUGAUGGAAAUGUUCCAUGU